rnacentral:rRNA from 1 species
GGCCAGACUCCUACGGGAGGCAGCAGUGGGGAAUAUUGCACAAUGGGGGAAACCCUGAUGCAGCGACGCCGCGUGAGUGAAGAAGUAUUUCGGUACGUAAAGCUCUGUCAGCAGGGAAGAAAAUGACGGUACCUGACCAAGAAGCCCCGGCUAACUACGUGCCAGCAGCCGCGGUAAUACGUAGGGGGCAAGCGUUAUCCGGAAUUACUGGGUGUAAAGGGAGCGUAGACGGUAAUGUAAGUCUGGAGUGAAAGGCGGGGGCCCAACCCCCGGACUGCUCUGGAAACUAUGUUACUGGAGUGCAGGAGAGGUAAGCGGAAUUCCUAGUGUAGCGGUGAAAUGCGUAGAUAUUAGGAGGAACACCAGUGGCGAAGGCGGCUUACUGGACUGUAACUGACGUUGAGGCUCGAAAGCGUGGGGAGCAAACAGGAUUAGAUACCCCGGUAC